rnacentral:rRNA from 1 species
GCAGCCGACGAGUCCUUAACUGACGCUAAAGCUCGAAAGUGCGGGUAUCGAACAGGAUUAGAUACCCUGGUAGUCCGCACGGUAAACGAUGGAUGCCCGCUGUUUGCGAUAUAUUGUAAGCGGCCAAGAGAAAUCGUUAAGCAUCCCACCUGGGGAGUACGCCGGCAACGGUGAAACUCAAAGGAAUUGACGGGGGCCCGCACAAGCGGAGGAACAUGUGGUUUAAUUCGAUGAUACGCGAGGAACCUUACCCGGGCUUGAACUGCAGGCGUACGAUACAGAGAUGUUGAGGCCCUUCGGGGCGCCUGUGGAGGUGCUGCAUGGUUGUCGUCAGCUCGUGCCGUGAGGUGUCGGCUUAAGUGCCAUAACGAGCGCAACCCCUUUCUCCAGUUGCCAUCAGGUGAUGCUGGGCACUCUGGAGACACUGCCACCGUAAGGUGUGAGGAAGGUGGGGAUGACGUCAAAUCAGCACGGCCCUUACGUCCGGGGCUACACACGUUGAACAAUGGGUGGUACAGAGAGUCGGUGCAUCGCAAGUUGCAUCUAAUCAUGAAAGCCAUCCUCAGUUCGGAUUGGGGUCUGCAACCCGACCCCAUGAAGC